rnacentral:rRNA from 1 species
GGUAGGAUUCAGCCGCGUCAACCGUCUGCUGCUCCUCCUCCUGUCCGUCCGCCCGUCCGCCCGCCCGCCCGUCCCGAAGCGUCUCGCCGCCUCCUCCACCGGACCACCGCCUCGAAGGCGAGCAGCCGCCCCCUUCCUCCUCCCGGAUUCUUGUCUGCCAUGGGUGACUACACAAUCCGGAUAAGCACCAGCUUGAUCGAGCAGCUCGCGCGCGAUGACGAGAAGCAGGUGAAAAGGAGGACCAGGAAACCCAGGCCGAAGAAGGUGGUGGAGCAACCAGAGGAGCCUCAGGACAAUGGCAGGGAAGUGGUGGAAGCCAUACGCGCCGUGGUGGCGGAGAGCGAGAAGGUGCUGGAGAAGCUGCAGAAGAAGGAGGCGGCGAUGCGCGAGGAGCUUACCAAGAGGGCCAAGGAGCUGCAUGACAAGGAGUUCAAGCUGCCCUACCAGAACCCCUCGCCAUGCACCGACGAGAGGGCGGGCUGCGCCGAGUGCUACAGGAGCAACGUGCAGGACCCGCUCAAGUGCGCCGAGGCGGUCAAGAGGUUCGAGGCUUGCGUUCGCAUGGCGAGGCGGGGCGGUGCCACCAUGGGAGCUGCUCAGUAGUAGC